rnacentral:rRNA from 1 species
GACGAACCGUGCGAACGUUGUUCGGAAUCACUGGCUUAAAGGGCGCGUAGGCGGGUUCGCAAGUCUGUGGUGAAAGCCUCCAGCUUAACUGGAGAAGUGCCGUGGAUACUGCGAAUCUUGAGGAGGGUAGGGGCGUCUGGAACGGUCGGUGGAGCGGUGAAAUGCGUUGAUAUCGACCGGAACUCCGGUGGCGAAGGCGAGGCGCUGGACCCUUUCUGACGCUGAGGCGCGAAAGCCAGGGGAGCAAACGGG